ACAUGCCUACAUCAUAGCGUUAAUGCACUGGAUCCCAUUAUAACUCUGCAGUUAAGAGCACUCAUGCUAGAGUAGUAUUGGGAUGGGUGAUUGCCCGGGAAGUCCUAGUGUUUUACAUGCC
rnacentral:rRNA from 1 species